rnacentral:misc_RNA from 1 species
GCCUUGUCCCCGCUGGUCGCCUGGGG